CACAAACCGGUUGGGCCCGCCCGGCCGGGCCGGCGCCGCCCGCGCCGCGGAGCUUGUGAGGGAUGCGGUGCCUCGCUCCCCGUGAGGCCGAUCCCUUACGAGCUUUAAAUUAUUCAGUCGGGACGCUGUCGCGUGAGACACCGGCUCCCGCCGGCUCCAACAAAAGCCGUCCUUAAUGUUUUAUAGGGGGAUACAGGAGAUACGCUGUUUGACACAGACGCAGUCCGGGGGGAAGGUGGCGGUGGCCACGGCCCUGCUUUCUGUCAGCGCGCUUCCUCGGACUGGCUGGGUCGUCAUUACUUGAUUUUCGGAAGCUGUUCUGACUUUCAGAAAGAAAAACUGAGUCCUCCAAGGAGCUUCCUUUUUUCAACAUUUUAAUGGAGCUAACUGCAGACUUAGAGUUGAAGUAUCCCUGUUUGGGGAUGAAAUCAGAGAAGUUCAGGAAGACAAAAUGCACCACAAGGAUUUUUGAAUUUCACUCCAUCUCUGCAGCUGAAGAAAAAUAUUCUCUGUAA
rnacentral:lncRNA from 1 species